UACGAAGGGGGGCUAGCGUUGUUCGGAAUCACUGGGCGUAAAGGGCGCGUAGGCGGCCGAUCAAGUCGGGGGUGAAAGCCUGUGGCUCAACCACAGAAUUGCCUUCGAUACUGUUUGGCUUGAGACCGGAAGAGGUAAGUGGAACUGCGAGUGUAGAGGUGAAAUCGUAGAUAUUCGCAAGAACACCAGUGGCGAAGGCGGCUUACUGGUCCGGUUCUGACGCUGAGGCGCGAAAGCGUGGGGGAGCAAACAGG
rnacentral:rRNA from 1 species